GAUAAAGAGGUGUGGUUGAGUUUUCAUAUAGUCUGUGGACACUGGUGCAAGUUGGUGCCGAUAUCACGACGACAAAAUAUCUACUGUACCUGUAGAAGCAGAUGUUUGAAGAAUGAAUAUCGUCCCAGGUCAAAUCCAGUUCCAAUUACAAUUACCAACGGUGUCUGUGGUUCCAAGGAAAACGGAUCCAAUUAUAAAAUGCAUUAUUGACAGAAAGUUGGAGAAACUAAAGAAAUUGAUUAGAGGCGGCAAGGACUUGAAUGGACAGUACCCUUGUGCUGAGUGGAAGGAUGAUGUUACCCCUUUAAUUGCUGCUGUUGCAUUUACAAAUGACAAUAUUUGUACAUUUCUUCUGAAAGAAGGUGCUGACCCCAACAUCCAAUCAACAAAUGGUUGGGUUCCUUUGCAUUAUGCCGCAAUGUCAAAAGCUCCUGUCAGUUUAGUGAGUAGAUUAAUUGCAGCAAAAGCAGAUCCAGAAGGGGCACCAAUCCAGAUGUUAACUCCACUUCAAUUGGCGGCUAACAAUGACAGAGAAGACAUUGUGAAGGAGUUGAUGAUGUCUGGAGCAUUUGCUGAAAGAAAUCUCAAAGUAUAUCCCGCUACUGACCAAAAGAUAGCAAGCAUGAUUCAGAAAUUCUCUUCAGAGAGUGAGAAUUUUGUCAAAUUGAAGAUUUUUUAUGAUUUUUCUUGUGCAAUAGGACUCAAAUCAGUGGAGGAUGUUUUCAAUGAAUAUGGCAAACACAUGCUGGUGGUGAACCCUGUGAAUCAUCUCACACUAUAUGACAUGUCUUUUAACGCCAUUGGACAAAAUGCGGAUCAGUAUCGUCAAGCAUCCAUAAAGUGGCUGAGAGAAUCUCAGAAAAUUGAUCUCUACAUUGAGGAGGCAACCAAUCGUUUGCCUAAAAUUCCCAAACAUUUACAAGAUAUGGUAGUGAAUUGCUUGACAGCCGUUUUUAACAUUAUGAAAGAAAUAUCUCUUGGACUGUCACUGGUAGUAAUACCCACUCUUCUGCAAUACCUCACACAUGAAUCCAAAAGUACUCCUCAAGGACUAAAUCGCAACAUUUCAGUUGUCAGACUACUGUAUGUGAUUACUCAGAAAGCUCCAAAUCACAAACAUGGCUGGACCCUCCCUUUUGUUGAGGAGUUAUGCAAGAGGAUCAUCUCAUUCACUGAUCAAGCAUAUCUCGCCAAUCCUCAGACCUCCAGCUUAGGUGUCUUUACAUUUGGUUUGCUUGCAGAUCUGUACACCUUUGAUUGUGUACCUGCGAUUAUCACAUCACGAGGGAUAACCUCUGUGCCGGAGAAAAUACUUGUUACUGCUGAAAUGGAGAUGGAUGAGGACCUGAAAGAAAAGCUAAGGAAAUUAGAUGUGUCCCUACGAAGUCCAGUCCCACCAACGGAUACAACUGAACAAUUGCAGGGAAUGAAUCUGUCAAAGAAGAAGAAGAAGAAGAAGAAGAAAAAGAAGAAAACAAUUCAGGAAGAGUUGUCGGUAGAGAAAAGUACACCUGACAUGACUGAGAAGCCAGAUCUUGAUGCUUCAUCAAUUCCAGUUGAAGAAUCUGGUGUACAUGAUGAACAUUCCAGUGUUAAACCAUUUCCCUCCACCACCGACGAAUUGAAACCCCGGAAAUGGCACAAAGUUAGUGAGCGGUGGAGGCCUCAGUUGGAGGAACUCAGCAACAUAGAUGCAGGCAAGGUUUACAGAUUGGGCAAUCUCAAUCUUGUCGUCCAUCCGGAUUUCCAAAUAGCCAAAGGAAGUGAUGGAACUGAAGUCUUUCUGGGCUUGAAGGAUGAUGGUACUGAGGUAGCCGUGAAGAGAAUGCUCAAGUCAAACUAUCAAGAUCUGAAGAGAGAAGAGGGUUUUUUUAAGACUACCUCAGCUGGAUAGUCCCUGCAUUGUGAGAUAUGUGGACUUUGCAGAGGACGAGCACUUCGGUUACCUUGUUCUUCAGCUCUGUGAAUACACCCUUGAUGAAUACAUCAAAGACCACCUACCAGAGGACAAAACCCCUGUCCUGAAGAAAAUAGUGCACGAGGUGCUCUGCAGUCUAAGCGUUCUGCAUAGUCUAAACACAAAAAUUCUGCACCGGGAUAUCAAACCCCAGAAUGUUUUAAUAGAUGUUACAGGCAGAGCGAGAUUAGCCGAUUUCGGUAUAAGUCGACAAUUGAACAUGGGACAAACAACUCUACAUACAAUCAGUGCAGGAACAAAAUGUUGGAAGGCCAGAGAAACUUUAGAUGAAGACAGUGGGAUCGGAUAUAAGAGGAGCACCGAUAUUCAGGUGGCCGGGAUGUUAAUGUAUUACAUCAUCUCUGGUGGACAUCAUCCAUUUGGCAAAGGCAUCCAUUGUGAAGUUAACAUUUUUCAAGGGAAGUACACACUGGAACAUGUUGAGGAGGAAGUGGCCAAGGACCUCAUUGAGUGGAUGAUCAAUGAAGACCCAGAGAAGAGACCUACAGUGGAGGACACACUGGCCCACCCAUACUUCUGGCCAGAGGAGAGGAGAGUGGAGUACUUACGAAAAAUUGGUAACGAGAAGGAAGCAGAGAACUGUCGCAAAGCAGAACCAAGCCUCCUUCAUGCUUUGGACCAGUGUGCUGAGGCGAGGUCGUUCACAAAGUGGAAGUCCAAGAUGCCGCCUGAGUUGAUGAAGAAGUUGGAUGGUAAAAAGAAGGCCUACCCAGACAACACAUUGGGUUUGUUGCGCUUCAUACGCAACCUUCAUGAGCACUACACUGAGGAUGCGGAUUCUGUUGACAUAUUGACAAUGUUCCCUGAUCUCUUUGGAUGCGUCUACAAGUUUGCGAAGAAAAUGGAGUGGAAUUCAAGAAGUAGUCUGAAGAAAUUGUUUCACAGAGAAGAUGUAAGAUAAUGAUUCUGACGAUUGGAAGAUUAACACUGACUAACUUCUGAAAUCUUGGCUUGACUUUUCUGUUGCCAUUAAAUGAGUCACUAGUGUUAAGUGUUAGAUGAAUGUUCUCUAGAGGAAAUCAAGAGGCUAUGCAGCACUCUGCCUCUGUUUGCCUACUUGGUGUUUUGGCCAUUUUCUUACAUCAUUAUAACAGUACUUAUCUCAUAAGCUAACAUGAAAUAUAUACAAUAUUUUUGAUUAGAAUAUGAAAUGUAACGAUACUUUGUAAUAUUAUUCAAUUUGCCUCAGUUUAUUCAUGGUUUGUUUACUGUAUGUAUAAUAGCAAUGACACAUACUGUACAUACAUACAACUUCUCUGUUGAAAAGUAUUGAAACGAGCUGAAUCUAUUAAUAAAGUGUAACAUCUGAAUAGUAUA